CAGCACUGACAUGCUCUCUGUAGUGAAG
rnacentral:piRNA from 1 species